rnacentral:lncRNA from 1 species
ACGAAAAUCGUUCGAGCCGUUCUGAUGACUUUGGAGAUGGCAAGGCUAGUGGUGACCAAGGUUUUGGGAGGAAAUUUUUCUAGUUCUUUCUGUAAGGCAAGUUCCUUGUUCUCCAUUGAUGAAUUUGAUACUGGCAUCCAUAUGGUGAUCGAUAAUUCUCCACUUGUUCCUACUUGUAUAAAAAAUUGUUAAGCAAGACUUACUCCUUUACCAACAAUAGUAUUAUAAUUUGUUCUCCAUUGAUGAAUUUGAUACUGUCAUCCAUAUGGUGAUCGAUAAUUCUCCACUUGUUCCUACUUGUAUAAAAAAUUGUUAAGCAGGACUUACUCCUUUACCAACAAUAAUAAUAUAAUAAUCAUAACAACAAUAACAACUGCACACAGAAGUUGGAAAAGUGGAAAUAGAAGCGUGAUUCUGAUAUAUGAAGCACGUGAUGCUGGUCUUUAUAGGUGGGCAUGCAUGACUUUUAAAUCAUUUGCCCCUUCUAAGAAUGGUUGUUUGUAUUUGAAACAGUUCCAGCUAUAAAAGUUUUGGCUAUGGUGUUCCAUGCUAUCUCCUACUCAAGAAAAUAAGGGGGGAGGGGUUAGCCAAACAUAGUAUAAUUUCUUUUGUCCGUGUUUGAAAGAAAUGCUGCAUUUUGUCCUAUUAUGUCCACCAUAGAAGGCUUCUCAGGAUUUGCCGUUAGGACUAUGUUUUGAUGUAAUGGCACUGGUUUGUUUAACAGGCGUGGACUCUGUGAAUAUGGCUAUUUGGGAAUGACCAUAAAGAGACGAAUGCGCGACUGAUGUCCAAGUUGUGAAGCAUCUUUGUUGAUUGCCAGGCUCCGUGUUUAGAGUUGCUGUAGCUUCAGAUUUUAUAACUCAAUUGCUAUACUUAGAAUUCCAUAAGAAUAACCAUUUUAUAUCCACUUGGUAACACCUAUAUGUAAUCUAUAGCUAUCGAGAAAGUCGUUCUCCUACCUGCUAUUAUAUUAUUUAAUGGUCGUAACUUUUCUUCUCAAGCUUUAUAUGAAGUUGUGUUAUCCGAGCUGUUGAUUGAUUAUCCUGCAGUGUGUAACAGUUUAGAUGUUCUACUCUCAAUUUCUAAAAACUAUGUAUCAGUAUUUCCUUUCCGGUUAUUAUACCAAAUGUAAAAAAUAUGCUUUGAUUUCUCAUUCCAGUAGGAGAUAAAGGUGCGUCAAGAAAACUUUGUUGGUGUUAUGAUAAAUUGUAAUUAUGGUGGAUGUCUACUUUUCUUUCAUGAUCUUCAUUUCAAAUGGUUUAUGACAUAUUCAAUGACAUAUUCCAUGACAUAUUUUCUUCAUUUUUUGUGCCUAUAUAAAGGCCUUGUAAUAGAUAGGAAAUCACACACAAUUGAAGAAGAAAAUCUCUUCCUUCUCU